AAAUGCUCUAGCUAGGACAAGUCAAAUCUAGAAGCAAAUCAAGUCAUAAGUUCAUGUAUGAAGAUUGCGGAAUUUAGUGGUGGUGAAAGGUGUUGAUAGCUCAUGGUUUUCAUGAGUUGUAUGGUGAUAGAAGGUGUGUUUGGUGGUUUUCUAAGAGAGGUUGGGCCAACUCUUGGAGGAAGGUGGCUAGAGGAGGCCACUUGGGUUGCUCUAGCCUAGGGUGACCUUAAAAAAGUAG
rnacentral:lncRNA from 1 species